rnacentral:lncRNA from 1 species
GUGUUCAAGCAAGAACCAACAGGUCAUAACAUUAAUUUGUGCCUUAUCUUUUCAAAUAACCAACAUUGAAAAGUGUAUGCAUCUUCACCAAGAAUAUCAAUAGUAACUCUCAGCUAUGAAGCAACCAAAGAAGAGAGAGAAUGAGUAAAACACAUGUUCACAUAUUAGUAACUCAUAGUCAUAGCUUUAACAUAUCACACAUUGCUAGAGCAUGAAGCCUCCCAAGCAUCUUUGAGAACUCAAAACAUGCAACAGAAAAGUGUGACCAAACAUUUCACAUCCUAAAUUCCUUAGUGUAAGGGGACAAAUCAUGCGAUGAUAAGAGUCUGACCGUGCUAGGGCAGGGGCCUCCACAGAGCUAUCGCUACUUAGCAAGCUCGGUAGUCCUUUGCGUCGGAGCUCGGUGCGGACACUAUCAAGCAUUGGCCUUGCUAUGGUGGAGAUCUCCACCAAGCUAUCACUACAGAGCAAGCUUAGAGGUCCUCUGCGGUGGAGCUAGGAGCGGUCAUUAUCAAAGACAAUUUUCGUCCGAGCUAAUGCCAUCGUUAGUUCUGAGUUGUCGCUGCUUAGUAAGCUCGGACCACUAACCGCGUUGGAACUUAGACGUGGCAAUCCCAAGGGAUUUUAGGAGACAGAAGGUGACUUAUACGUCAGAGUUCUUCCUGAUAGCCCCUACGCCUAAUAGAGACAUCGGCAGUUGAUGAUGGGCUACUAGCCAAGCCAUAGGGGCAUGGCUAGGUCAGCCGCUUACUCACUGACAUGGCAGUCGAUGCGUUUGGACACGCGCCGAGCUAUAGUCUAUUGAGUGAUAGGACAGCUAGCGCGUUUAGCCACACAUUGAGCUAGGAAAUAAAAGGAGAAUUGUUGUUCUCACAAAGGUACGCGCAACCUUGCUAUUGAGGCAUACAUGUACUUUCUCUCUCUAAGAUCUCCAAAUGUCUAACUUGACCGUCGGAGGGCCGUUGCCCGAAAACAACUCCGGCGGACGGUUUUACUGCUUUGGUGAUUGCAGUUAGGGCAGUGCUGGUUGGACGGAUGACAAAUUGAAGCUACCUACGCAGCCGUAGAACCGCCGCGGGUGUCUAUCCUCGAUUUUCUUUCUCUUUUCCUUCAAACAAUACACCCCACACUUGGCAUAUGAAUUGUAAACAUCAAGUAAACACAUAAGUAGCCACAACCUGUAUUUUGGUUUGGUUGAUGAUGCCAUUUACUGAGCAUCUUUUGUAGUUCCAACAGUUAUUGAUGCAGCAAAUACGGAAAAUGAACCAAUAAUCACACCUUAGUUGUUGAUUCCGAAGAAUGCCAGUUUGAAUUUCUUUCCUAAACCUAUUGAUUCAAGUGAAUAUCAAGCAAAGAGGCAACAAACGUUCAUUGAUUCAGGAGAAUACCGAACGAUUAGGAUAAAUGGCACAAACUUAGGCAUAAACUAUAUUAAUCUCCAAAAAAAUUGUUGAAAACGGCACAAAUAAGAGUAUAAAUAUUUGGCACGAAACCCUAGGGCCAAAGACAAACCGGGUUAAAAAAAACUUAUAAAAAUCUAACAAAAUAAGCACAAAAUAUUAAACGGGCCAAAAGUCAUACUUAGAGGUGUUUUUUUGCUUUUUCCUAUGCCAAUUAGUGAUGUUUUUUUAGGACUUUCAUCUCGUCUCAAGCUUUCCGAAAAUAUAUUAUAAUAGAAAAAUAGAGAGUUACACAGCAAAAAUUACGAUCGAUUAAAGUUUACCGAUCACGUGGGUAUAACGAUGCCCCUGGAUCUCCAAGUAGUCUUCUACUAUGCUAUUCACAUCAGUUAUAUCCAUCACUUCAGAAGUAGGAGGAACCACAAUGCUAGUUGGAGUUUUAUCUGACACUUGAUUGAGUGGCUCACGUAUUUCCUCUGAUUGUGCAUGCAAAACCAACCAAUUAGACAAGAAAGUUAGAGAGGAAGAAGAAUCUUAGCAACAACAAAACUCCCAUAAUUCCUCCCCGAGAAGAACAAGAAGAAGUUGAUCAUUCAUUCUUAGCGACAACAACACUCCUAUUAUCCUCCCAAAAAUUGUUGUCAUACCUAUCCAUAGGAAAUAUCAGGAGUCUCACAAAUAAAGUAGGUAAUAAACCAUUUAAAGAAUCCACCACCUAAGAGCAUAUCAAAUAUUUCACAAUCAUAAUUUUUUUGAUUCCAUCAAGCGUAAAAUGUUAAAGAGUACUAUGUGUUUCAUUGUCAUCUUCAAGAUCUAAUUUUAUAUGCUGAAACCAAUGACAUUCUAGCGUCAAAAUCUUCUCAUUUAUCUUCUUUCUUUCCGCGCUCUCUCAAAAGCAAAGGUAAGAGUUUCUCGGGUUUCGGUCCUAUAAUUAACAAUUUUAAAUUUAGUAUUCUUUUUUUAAUUAUCUUUUUGUUUACCUAUUUGUCUAAUUGAAUUUCCGUUUAAUGUGUCUAAUCUAAGAGUAGUAAGUGUGUAUAAGAUAUCGGGAGUGAAUCGGGUACUAGACUGGCUUUUAAAUUUGUAAAAAUUUUGGGUUAAACCGGUUGGAAAAAAGAUGGAUCGGUCGGAAAAAAGAUGGACCGAUUCAAGACAAAACAGUAGGUUCUCUGAAAAGAUGGACUAGUCGGAAAAAAGAUAAAUCGGUCCAGGACAAGACAGAAGGUUUCCUGGAAAGCUGGACCAAUCAGGCAAAAGAUUGACCGGUCAUGUUUUGAGCUACUAAACCUCUAAAUCAAGAAAAAUAAUGUAAACGAAAGUUGUAAAUAUUUGAAAUAGCUUUCAUAUGCAACUCGAAUCGAGUCAAAAGAUUGUCAUAUAAGGGAUUUCUGCCCAAAAUACUAACUGACUAUUUUGACGAAAAACAAGACUUAACUUCUAAUUGAAUUCCAAUCCUACCACGACGUAUUAUCAAAAUUUAUUUCAUUAAAUAGCAUGUUACUCUUAGAUGAGAUGAUUAUGUAUUUCUUGAAGUACGAAGAUUACAAAAACUAAGAGGCUCGAAAAAAGUAUUAGUUGGAAUGUAGGAGAAUUUUGCUAUAUUUCUAUUUUCUUAUCUUUUUUCUUUCUUUAUUUAUUCUUAUUUCUCUUCCUCCUCCUCUCCCUUUUUUGCAGCCCUCUCUCUCUUUCCCUCUUUCUCUUUCUCCUUCCUUUUUGGCGUACAAGCUCUCAGCUUACUUACUGGAAGGACAAAGGAAUUAUGGGUUUGUUGACUUUGGGGUUGGUUAGGUGGUGAAUCACUUCCACCAUGGUUCACAUGGUUCAUUCCUUAUAUGGCUGAUAUGUGUCCCAAAUGUGGGAUAUGUGCUCAGCUUUUGUUCUGUUUUAUCAGAAAAUCUUUUCGGGUAAAAAUUCAGUUAUCGUAAAAAUCCCAAAAAAAAUCUAAAAUUCUACUAGUAUAUUUAUAUAUUUUUUCUUACUUUAAUAAGGUAGAAAUAAUUAGGGGUCAGGAUAUUACAAUAUAUUGAUACAAACAAUCUCUACUCUAUUUUUAUCUUAAAGGGCGGGAGUUGGGGUGUCAAGGUUUGAAUCCGUAGAUGGAGUAUUAGGUGUUUUAUCACUUAGACUACCAAUAAAUAUUUGGAAUUCAAAAUUGAAAAAAUUACAACAUGAUCAUUUUAAGGUACUUAUUCCAUGCAAAAUUCAUUUUAAGUAAUUACUUUUUAAAAAAAUUAUUUUGAGUAACUACCAACUUACCAUCCUCAAUAUGAAUUAAACUCAAAAUAGACAAACUAAAAAAAAUAAUUUUUUUAAAGCAAAAAAUGAUAAAUUAUCAAUAUAAUUUUCACAUUGAGAUUUAUUAUCUUAUAAAUUAUCGUAUGAACAAGAUUAUCACUACACAAUAUAACAAAUAAGUAAUUAUCAAUGAAUUUAUAAAGCAGAAAAUGAGAUAAUUAAACAAGAGAAAUUCUCAAAUAUUUACUCCACAUGAUAAACAAGAAAAGUUCUUGAAUAUUUACUUAAUGAAAAUUGACAUAAGCAUAUCAAUUUCAAUUGGAUAAAAAAAAUUGAGAAAAUAUCAAAUUAAAAAUUCAUAUGAUAAAUAAAAUAAAUUCACAAAUAUUUAUUUUGUGCAAAUUGAGAAAAUACUACAUCAAAUGCAAUUAAUUCGCAAUUACUCAACUUACAAAAUAAUUAGAGGAUUUUUGUGAAUACAAGUUCGAACCCGUAAUUUAUGUGUAGAUAAGUUACUAUAUUUGAAGUGAAGUCAAAAAUACUCUUCUAAAUAAUAGAGAGAAGAAAGAAAGUCAAUGAUUUUGAAAUAAAAAAAUUUUUGCAAUGAACUAUUUAACAAAUGAACUAUUUCAAAUGUUUGUUUAAUUAGUCAAUUGAUUAGGUAAUUGAUUUUCGUACUCUCAUUUUUUAUUUCUACACUCCAAAGUAGGAGUGCAGAAAUCAAUAUAAUUAUGGUGUUGAUUUCUGUACUCCUAUUUUGAAGUGUAGAAAUCAAAAAUGGGAGUGCGAAAAUCACUUCCCUUAUUCUAUUAGUGCCACUUUUGUGAAGUUUGACUAGCUAUUGUAUUUAAUUUUAAUUUUUUUGUUCGUAAACUCUUUUUAAAUUAGAUAAGAAAAAUCAUAUUCAAAGUUUAGACUCCUCUCGUGAAGAGGAAUCGGAAUAAUAAAAAAAUUCAAUCAAACAAAUGAAAAAAAUGUCAUUAAAAAUAACCAAACUCCCAAACUAAAAUAGCAAAAAAAUCUAUAUAAAAAAAAUACAAACUAGAUAAUUGGCAAUUCCACCGAAUCAAUUGCAGAGCCCCUCAGGUUUUCAACACUUCAUUGUUCCUCCAAAGCUCUCCCAGUGGCGACAUGGCCUGAAGCUUUUCGACACGCGUCUUUCUUUGCACUCGUGCGUGACUUUUUUUUUUAUCAGAUAAAUAAAAAAUAGAUUGAUCAAAAAGAGAAAAAUCUCCGAAUAUACCCAAGAGGCAGACAGCGGGCACAAGGCCUAGACAGACAUACAAGAUGAAGCCUAAAAACAAGGAUACUACCUCUAUGCAAAGCCAGAAAACACAACUCCCACAACCGGGAUCAAAUAAAAAU